UUGGAGGGCAAGUCUGGUGCCAGCAGCCGCGGUAAUUCCAGCUCCAAUAGCGUAUAUUAAAGUUGUUGCAGUUAAAAAGCUCGUAGUUGAAUUUCGGGAUUGGCGUGUCGGUCGUGCCUUACGGGGUAUGAACUGGCGUCGUCGAUUUCUCACCUUCUGGAGAAUCACGAUGCCCUUAAUUGGGUGUCGUGUGGAACCAGGACCUUUACCUUGAAAAAAUUAGAGUGUUUAAAGCAGGCAUUUUUGCUCGAAUACAUUAGCAUGGAAUAAUAAAAUAGGACGGUUUGGUUCUAUUUUGUUGGUUUCUAGGAUCACCGUAAUGAUUAAUAGGGAUAGUUGGGGGCAUUAGUAUUCAAUUGUCAGAGGUGAAAUUCUUGGAUUUAUUGAAGACUAACUACUGCGAAAGCAUUUGCCAAGGAUGUUUUCAUUAAUCAAGAACGAAAGUUAGGGGAUCGAAGACGAUCAGAUACCGUCGUAGUCUUAACCAUAAACUAUGCCGACUAGGAAUCAGACGAUGUUAAUUUUUUAAUGACUCGUUUGGCACCUUACGGGAAAC
rnacentral:rRNA from 1 species